AGUCGAGCGAGUCUGCCUUGAAAUCGGAGUGCUUGCACUCUGUGAAACAAGAUACAGGCUAGCGGCGGACGGGUGAGUAACACGUGGGUAACCUGCCCAAGAGAUCGGGAUAACACCUGGAAACAGAUGCUAAUACCGGAUAACAACAGAUGAUGCCUAUCAACUGUUUAAAAGAUGGUUCUGCUAUCACUCUUGGAUGGACCUGCGGUGCAUUAGCUAGUUGGUAGGGUAACGGCCUACCAAGGCGAUGAUGCAUAGCCGAGUUGAGAGACUGAUCGGCCACAUUGGGACUGAGACACGGCCCAAACUCCUACGGGAGGCAGCAGUAGGGAAUCUUCCACAAUGGACGCAAGUCUGAUGGAGCAACGCCGCGUGAGUGAAGAAGGGUUUCGGCUCGUAAAGCUCUGUUGUUGGUGAAGAAGGACAGGGGUAGUAACUGACCUUUGUUUGACGGUAAUCAAUUAGAAAGUCACGGCUAACUACGUGCCAGCAGCCGCGGUAAUACGUAGGUGGCAAGCGUUGUCCGGAUUUAUUGGGCGUAAAGCGAGUGCAGGCGGCUCGAUAAGUCUGAUGUGAAAGCCUUCGGCUCAACCGGAGAAUUGCAUCAGAAACUGUCGAGCUUGAGUACAGAAGAGGAGAGUGGAACUCCAUGUGUAGCGGUGAAAUGCGUAGAUAUAUGGAAGAACACCGGUGGCGAAGGCGGCUCUCUG
rnacentral:rRNA from 1 species